AUAAAACCAAGCUGUACUCCGACCACCUCGGUUUUGCCAUUAAAGUGAUGCAAAAACCUCAAUUACUUUUGCACGAACCUAGUAAGUACUUACUCUGUUUUUCCAGUGGUCAGAAGAGUCUUUCAUUUGGAAGUUUCUAAUGCAAGCUAAUUUUGUGAGAAAAAACUCUCACAUCAUGUAUCUGCCCAUUUUAGAGGAAGGAUAAGCAUAUGGUACAACAUCAGUGGAUGGAACAGAAGCCGCAACUAGUUGAGGGUAUUUCCUUGCCUACAGCUCCAUCAAGCAUUAAGAGAGACUUUCCAGGCCAGCUCCAGAUGAAAAGUGCUUAUUUCAGAAUCUUUAUUUUGGGGGUCUGUGCCAUUAUGUCAAGAUUCUAAAACUCAAAAUUGGAGCCUGAAAAGUCAUGUCUCUCGCUAUGAGAGUGUUGGGGCUCAGAAAGCGAUACCCCAAAGACUGGUGCUUUGAAAUGUUGAGAGGACUUAGAAGCUGCCUCAGAAUCAAGGAGGCUGAGGCAGGAGAAUGGCGUGAACCCCGGGAGGGGGAGCUUGCAGUGAGCCGAGAUUGCGCCACUGCACUCCAGCCUGGGCGACACAGCGUGGGUGUGGUGGCACAUGCCUGUAGUCCCAGCUACCUAGGAGGCUGAGACAGGAGAAUCACUUGAACCCAGGACACA
rnacentral:lncRNA from 10 species